rnacentral:tRNA from 1 species
GGGGUUGUAGCUCAGUGGUAGAGUACUCACCUCGAAUGUGUGAAGGCACUGAGUUCGAUCCUCAGCACCA